rfam:Ictidomys tridecemlineatus contig023800, whole genome shotgun sequence.
GGGGAUGUAGCUCAGUGGUAAAGUGCUUGCCUAGCACAUGCAAGAAGGGAAGACACUGAGUUUGAUUCUCAGCACUGCCA